rnacentral:lncRNA from 1 species
GCUGAGCUCUUGCAGACUGAGUUGAUAACAACUGGUGUAGCUCUGUGUUGUGGACCCCUCACUGGAGUCUUCAGGGUCAACUGACAGAUGGAAAAGCCCUUGGAAUUAUGACAUCUUCAGGAGCCGCUGGGAAUGGUGUGGUGCAGCAAUAAGUAACAGUAUGUAAUAUAUGUGCAAGAGGCCACAGGAAAAUACCUAAGAACACCAGAGAUAAUAGCAGGAACUCCUUAUUUAUCUGUGGGCUAGGAAGAAUUGCUCCUUCAGUUCAGUAUCCAGUCCUAGUGGAGCCAGCAUCUGAGAAAGAUAUAUGCAAGGUCAGACAGAUAGCUAAGGGCAAAACCUGCAUUUCAGAAGGUUCUUCCUCCUUCCGGCUGUUUCAUUAGUUUGUGAGCUAAGAUAACAUGUGGCAGAGCAUACACCACCACAGCUGGCUCAGAAUGAGCCACGAUGUUGAGAAAAUCCCUCCAGGAGCAGCUGCUCAAACGCCCUUUCUCCUUUUGGUUUUAGAAAUUUGGCUGAUCCUAUUCUACUACUCCAGUUGAAACAAAGUACUUUUUGGGAAGAGAACUGACAACAAUCUCAUGGUAAGUAAGACACAUUUUGGAAUCACAGAUGACAGUAAACAGUUUGGAAUGAAUACCACUUCAUUUUAAAGAAAAAAUAUAAGGAGUUCUUACUAUUUAAUUGGCAUCAGUGCACGCUAGAAAUUCACAGACCCAUCUUAAUUUAUUCCAGACUGUAGAAAAAUGUUUCUAUCUAAAGUAAUGUACUCUCCAUAGGAAAAACUACUCUAUUCCACAUAGAAAGUAUUCUAUGUGGAAUAUUUUUAACAUGCAGUAAUUCAGGAUCAUAUUAUUCUUAGGAAAAUCCACUGUGCUGUUGUCCUGAACUUUCUGCCGUGGGGUUCAAUAACUAAAUUCAGUGGGUCCAUAAAUCUUUACAGAACACACAGUUUUAAAUUAAAAAGAAGCAAAAACAUCUGACCCAGAAUGGAGACAUUAGAACAGUACAAAAUGAAAAACUAAGACAUGGCUGUUGAGUUGUACUCAAUGUCUCGAUGUCCAAAAGGAAGCCAGUAACGAGUGGUGUCCAUUAAGGGUCCGUAGUGGGAUCAAUGUUAUUUAAUAUCUUCAU